rnacentral:rRNA from 1 species
CCUACGGGAGGCAGCAGUGAGGAAUAUUGGUCAAUGGACGAGAGUCUGAACCAGCCAAGUAGCGUGAAGGAUGACUGCCCUAUGGGUUGUAAACUUCUUUUAUAUGGGAAUAAAACGUUCCACGUGUGGGAUUUUGUAUGUACCAUAUGAAUAAGGAUCGGCUAACUCCGUGCCAGCAGCCGCGGUAAUACGGAGGAUCCGAGCGUUAUCCGGAUUUAUUGGGUUUAAAGGGAGCGUAGGUGGAUUGUUAAGUUAGUUGUGAAAGUUUGCGGCUCAACCGUAAAAUUGCAGUUGAAACUGGCAGUCUUGAGUACAGUAGAGGUGGGCGGAAUUCGUGGUGUAGCGGUGAAAUGCUUAGAUAUCACGAAGAACUCCGAUUGCGAAGGCAGUUCACUGGACUGCAACUGACACUGAGGCUCGAAAGUGUGGGUAUCAAACAGGAUUAGAUACCCUAGUAGUC